rnacentral:sRNA from 1 species
UUUUAGCCCUGGUUGAAGCGGCAUCCCGCUCGUGAUAACGAGUGGAUAUAGCGGAAAACAGGAAACAAU